UUCAGCGGCGGACGGGUGAGUAAUGCCUAGGAAUCUGCCUGGUAGUGGGGGACAACGUUUCGAAAGGAACGCUAAUACCGCAUACGUCCUACGGGAGAAAGCAGGGGACCUUCGGGCCUUGCGCUAUCAGAUGAGCCUAGGUCGGAUUAGCUUGUUGGUGAGGUAAUGGCUCACCAAGGCGACGAUCCGUAACUGGUCUGAGAGGAUGAUCAGUCACACUGGAACUGAGACACGGUCCAGACUCCUACGGGAGGCAGCAGUGGGGAAUAUUGGACAAUGGGCGAAAGCCUGAUCCAGCCAUGCCGCGUGUGUGAAGAAGGUCUUCGGAUUGUAAAGCACUUUAAGUUGGGAGGAAGGGCAGUAAGUUAAUACCUUGCUGUUUUGACGUUACCGACAGAAUAAGCACCGGCUAACUCUGUGCCAGCAGCCGCGGUAAUACAGAGGGUGCAAGCGUUAAUCGGAAUUACUGGGCGUAAAGCGCGCGUAGGUGGUUUGUUAAGUUGGAUGUGAAAGCCCCGGGCUCAACCUGGGAACUGCAUCCAAAACUGGCAAGCUAGAGUACGGUAGAGGGUGGUGGAAUUUCCUGUGUAGCGGUGAAAUGCGUAGAUAUAGGAAGGAACACCAGUGGCGAAGGCGACCACCUGGACUGAUACUGACACUGAGGUGCGAAAGCGUGGGGAGCAAACAGGAUUAGAUACCCUGGUAGUCCACGCCGUAAACGAUGUCAACUAGCCGUUGGAAUCCUUGAGAUUUUAGUGGCGCAGCUAACGCAUUAAGUUGACCGCCUGGGAGUACGGCCGCAAGGUUAAAACUCAAAUGAUUGACGGGGGCCCGCACAA
rnacentral:rRNA from 1 species